rnacentral:rRNA from 1 species
UGAGCACUGAUUUUUUGRAMGCGCAUUGCGGCCUCGGGUCCUGCCCGGGGCCUCGCCUGUCUGAGGGUC